rnacentral:lncRNA from 1 species
AAACAGAGCUGUUAAACAGAGCACAUUAACUAAAGGGCUCCCGAGUUCAAUCUCACAUUUCCCCAGUGCUUUCAAUCAGUUUCUACCACUGAAAGAUUUAAAUUCUGGCCAGUUACUGAGAGGCGGAAAAAAAAUCUCUCCUGUGAAACAGUGACUGUAAAGUCUGGCUUCCACCCAAGCCACAGGAACUUUAAACAGUCUGCGGGCUCAGCGGCCACAGACAGGUUCAAACCGAGUGGGAUGAAAACUGCUCCCAGGUUUUUAAUCUGAGGUCGCAGAAACCCUUCAAAUUUCCCCAUCUCUCUCAGAGGGUUCACGAGGGAAAUAACACUGAGUUGUAUUGUGACCUCUGCCCACUGAUGGGAAAAUAGUUCCAGUUAUUAUAUUGCAUUGAUGGCCACAUAAGUUCCAUCAACUGUAAAGCAAAAUGAAGGUAGAGUGGGCUGUAAAGCCUGCGCUGGAGAUCACAUCAUCACUCAGAACAGAAUUAAGAUAAUUUCAAUUUCAUUUUGGCAAAAGNGUACAUUCAUUCAGGUCUCUCAUACUUUUCCCAUGAAAAAGUUAGCAGUCUGAUUAAUGAUAUCAAGGCUUUGGAAUAAUAGGAACAAGAGAAUGUGCCAGAAACACAUUGAUAUGAAGCUUAAACCAGCUUAAACCAUUCUCCAUAAAUAAUUAAAACAACUUCUAACAAAAGGGCACCUGUGGGGAAUCGCUAACAAUGAAGUUGGAAUAAACUUGGAUUGUUAUAGACUGAGGAGAACGAUGAGAUUUCAGCCAAACACCAUCAGUCUGCAGCACAGGAAGGACCUAUGUGUGAAAAUGCUCCAAGAGAGAAACUUUACGCAAGGAUAUGGGAAACCCAAUGAUAAGCAAAAAUAAUUUCAAACACCAGCUGCAUGCUCAUCAGUUGGACAUCACCAUCUUGCAGGCUAGUCAAGGGAAACCUUCCAUCCUUCUAUUCCUCUCUUCUUUACUCCUAUUAUUUAUGAAGUGAAGGAAAUGAAUGUAAUGGAAUUCAAAUAGAAACAUACUAGNAUAUCUUUUUCACAUUUCUACCUAAAGAUAUGAUAGGAAGAAAAUAUUUUAAGUAAAUUUUGAAAUACCC